rnacentral:rRNA from 1 species
AAAAAGCUUGGUAGUUGAACCUUGGGGCCUAGGGGGGCUGUUCCCCCUCAGCGGCGUGCACUGGGUCGGGGGGGUCUUUUCUUGGGGAGAACCCGCAUGCCCUUCAGUGGGUGUGGCGGGAAACCAGGUUUUUUACUAAGAAAAAAUUAGUUUGCUUAAAGAAGGCUUAUGCUAGAAUACAUUCGCAUGGAAUAAUAGAAUAGGACGUGUGGUUUUAUGNNGUGGUUUAUAGGACCGCCGUAAUGAUUAAUAGGGACAGUGGGGGGCAUCAGUAUUCAAUUGUCAGAGGUGAAAUUCUUGGAUUUAUUGAAGACUAACUACUGCGAAAGCAUUCGCCAAGGAUGUUUUCAUUAAUCAGGAACGAAAGUUAGGGGAUCGAAGACGAUCAGAUACCGUCGUAGUCUUAACCAUAAACUAUGCCGAUUAGGGAUCGGACGGCGUUAUUUUUUGACCCGUUCGGCACCUUACGAUAAAUCAAAAUGUUUGGGCUCCGGGGGGAGUAUGGUCGCAAGGCUGAAACUUAAAGAAAUUGGCGGAAGGGCACCACCAGGGGUGGAGCCUGCGGCUUAAUUUGACUCAACACGGGGAAACUCACCAGGUCCAGACACGAUGAGGAUUGACAGAUUGAGAGCUCUUUCUUGAUUUCGUGGGUGGUGGUGCAUGGCCGUUCUUAGUUGGUGGAGUGAUUUGUCUGCUUAAUUGCGAUAACGAACGAGACCUUAACCUGCUAAAUAGCCCGUAUUGCUUUGGCAGUACGCCGGCUUCUUAGAGGGACUAUCGGCUCAAGCCGAUGAAAGUUUGAGGCAAUAACAGGUCUGAGAUCCCCUUAGAUGUUCUGGGCCGCACGCGCGAUACACUGACAGACCCAGCGAGUACUNCCUUGGCCGGAAGGUCCGGGUAAUCUUGUUAAACUCUGUCGUGCUGGGGAUAGAGCAUUGCAAUUAUUGCUCUUCAACGAGGAAUCCCUAGUAAGCGCAAGUCAUCAGCUUGCGUGAUACG